GACGAACGCUGGCGGCGUGCCUAAUACAUGCAAGUAGAACGCAGUUGCGAACGGGUGAGUAACGCGUAGGUACCUGCCUCAUAGCGGGGGAUAAAGAUUGGAAACGAUAGCUAAUACCGCAUACUGUGAGAUGGACCUGCGGUGUAUUAGCUAGUUGGUGAGGUAAAGGGUCACCAAGGCGACGAUACAUAGCCGACCUGAGAGGGUGGUCGGCCACAAUGGGACCUAGGCACGGGCCAGAACCCUACGGGAGGGAGCAGUAGGGAAUCUUCGGAAAAGGACGGAAAUCUUGCCGGGCAACGCCGCGUGAGUGAAGAAGGUUUUCCGGUCCUAAAGCUCUGUUGUUAGAGAAACGGUAACUAACCAGAAAGCGACGGCUAACUACGUGCCAGCAGCCGCGGUAAUUC
rnacentral:rRNA from 1 species